AUUUUAACGCUGGACGGCAGGCCUWACACAUGCAAGUCGAACGGUAGCACAGNAGNAGCUUGCUCUCGGGUGACGAGUGGCGGACGGGUGAGUAAUGUCUGGGAAACUGCCUGAUGGAGGGGGAUAACUACUGGAAACGGURGCUAAUACCGCAUAACGUCGCAAGACCAAAGAGGGGGACCUUCGGGCCUCUUGCCAUCAGAUGUGCCCAGAUGGGAUUAGCUAGUAGGUGGGGUAAUGGCUCACCUAGGCGACGAUCCCUAGCUGGUCUGAGAGGAUGACCAGCCACACUGGAACUGAGACACGGUCCAGACUCCUACGGGAGGCAGCAGUGGGGAAUAUUGCACAAUGGGCGCAAGCCUGAUGCAGCCAUGCCGCGUGUAUGAAGAAGGCCUUCGGGUUGUAAAGUACUUUCAGCGGGGAGGAAGGUGUUGUGGUUMAUAACCGCAGCAAUUGACGUUACCCGCAGAAGAAGCACCGGCUAACUCCSUGCCAGCAGCCGCGGUAAUACGGAGGGUGCAAGCGUUAAUCGGAAUUACUGGGCGUAAAGCGCACGCAGGCGGUCUGUCAAGUCGGAUGUGAAAUCCCCGGGCUCAACCUGGGAACUGCAUUCGMAACUGCGCAGGCUAGAGUCUUGUAGAGGGGGGUAGAAUUNCCAGGUGUAGCGGUGAAAUGCGUAGAGAUCUGSAGGAAUMCCGGUGGCGAAGGCGGCCCCCUGGACAAAGACUGACGUCAGGUGCGAAAGCGUGGGGAGCAAACGA
rnacentral:rRNA from 1 species